rnacentral:tRNA from 1 species
AGCAAAGAAGUAAAAAGAUUACAAUUAAUUUCGACUUAAAUUUAGAGUUUAAUCUCCAUGCUU